rnacentral:tRNA from 1 species
GAGGGUAUAGCUUAGUGGUAGAGUGCGUGCUUAGCAUGCUUGAGGUCCUGGGUUCAAUCCCCAGUACUUCCA